GACGAACGCUGGCGGCGUGCUUAACACAUGCAAGUCGAACGGAAAGGCCCUGCUGUUGUGGGGUGCUCGAGUGGCGAACGGGUGAGUAACACGUGAGUAACCUGCCCUUGACUUUGGGAUAACUUCAGGAAACUGGGGCUAAUACCGGAUAGGAGCUCCUGCUGCAUGGUGGGGGUUGGAAAGUUUCGGCGGUUGGGGAUGGACUCGCGGCUUAUUAGCUUGUUGGUGGGGUAGUGGCUUACCAAGGCUUUGACGGGUAGCCGGCCUGAGAGGGUGACCGGCCACAUUGGGACUGGGAUACGGCCCAGACUCCUACGGGAGGCAGCAGUGGGGAAUAUUGCACAAUGGGCGGAAGCCUGAUGCAGCAACGCCGCGUGCGGGAUGACGGCCUUCGGGUUGUAAACCGCUUUCGCCUGUGACGAAGCGUGAGUGACGGUAAUGGGUAAAGAAGCACCGGCUAACUACGUG
rnacentral:rRNA from 1 species